rnacentral:tRNA from 1 species
UCCUCGAUAGUAUAGUGGUGAGUAUCCCCGCCUGUCACGCGGGAGACCGGGGUUCGAUUCCCAGUCGGGGAG